rnacentral:rRNA from 1 species
GACGAACGCUGGCGGCGUGCUUAACACAUGCAAGUCGAGCGGUAAGGCCCUUUCGGGGUACGACGGCGGCGAACGGGUGAGUAACACGUGGGUGACCUGCCCUCAGCUCUGGGAUAAGCCUGGGAAACCGGGUCUAAUACUGGAUAUGACUCCAUGACGCAUGUUGUGGGGUGGAAAGCCUUGUGCGGCUGAGGAUGGGCCCGCGGCCUAUCAGCUUGUUGGUGGGGUGAGGCCUACCAAGGCGACGACGGGUAGCCGGCCUGAGAGGGCGACCGGCCACACUGGGACUGAGACACGGCCCAGACUCCUACGGGAGGCAGCAGUGGGGAAUCUUGCGCAAAUGGGCGAAAGCCUGACGCAGCGACGCCGCGUGAGGGAU